rnacentral:rRNA from 1 species
GAACGCUGGCGGCGUGCCUAACACAUGCAAGUCGAGCGGAGAUGUACUGAAGAUUUAUCGGAUGUACAUCUUAGCGGCGGACGGGUGAGUAACGCGUGGGCAACCUGCCUUCCACUGGGGGAUAACACAGGGAAACCUGUGCUAAUACCGCAUGACAUCACAUAGGGCAUCCUGUGUGAUCAAAGGAGUGAUCCGGUGGAAGAUGGGCCCGCGUCCGAUUAGCUAGUUGGUGAGGUAACGGCUCACCAAGGCGACGAUCGGUAGCCGGACUGAGAGGUUGGCCGGCCACAUUGGGACUGAGACACGGCCCAGACUCCUACGGGAGGCAGCAGUGGGGAAUAUUGCGCAAUGGGGGGAACCCUGACGCAGCGACGCCGCGUGAAGGAAGAAGGCCUUCGGGUUGUAAACUUCUUUGAUGAGGGACGAAGGAAGUGACGGUACCUCAAAACAAGCCACGGCUAACUACGUG